rnacentral:rRNA from 1 species
GUGGGUAGUUUGACUGGGGCGGUCUCCUCCUAAAGAGUAACGGAGGAGCACGAAGGUUGGCUAAUCCUGGUCGGACAUCAGGAGGUUAGUGCAAUGGCAUAAGCCAGCUUGACUGCGAGCGUGACGGCGCGAGCAGGUGCGAAAGCAGGUCAUAGUGAUCCGGUGGUUCUGAAUGGAAGGGCCAUCGCUCAACGGAUAAAAGGUACUCCGGGGAUAACAGGCUGAUACCGCCCAAGAGUUCAUAUCGACGGCGGUGUUUGGCACCUCGAUGUCGGCUCAUCACAUCCUGGGGCUGAAGUAGGUCCCAAGGGUAUGGCUGUUCGCCAUUUAAAGUGGUACGCGAGCUGGGUUUAGAACGUCGUGAGACAGUUCGGUCCCUAUCUGCCGUGGGCGCUGGAGAACUGAGGGGGGCUGCUCCUAGUACGAGAGGACCGGAGUGGACGCAUCACUGGUGUUCGGGUUGUCAUGCCAAUGGCACUGCCCGGUAGCUAAAUGCGGAAGAGAUAAGUGCUGAAAGCAUCUAAGCACGAAACUUGCCCCGAGAUGAGUUCUCCCUGAGACUUUAGGUCUCCUGAAGGAACGUUGAA